GGGGAUGUAGCUCAGCAGGGAGAGCGCGGCGUUCGCAACGCCGAGGUCGCCGGUUCGAAUCCGGUCAUCUCCACCA
rnacentral:tRNA from 1 species